rnacentral:rRNA from 1 species
AUGAUCAUUGGAAAUGGCUCGAUGGCGCUUUUUUGGGAAGAUCGCUGGAUUGGCGGGCAGUCUGUCGGUGAGAUAGCUCCCCUACUCUACCAAUGCAUUCCCAAACAUCGACGCAAGGCCAGGACGGUGGCUGAAGGGCUGGCGGGUAACUCUUGGGCACAUGAUAUUCAAGGGGUCCUGGGUCUGCACGAGAUCGGACAAUACUUACUGCUAUGGCAGGCUGUGUGCCACACCAUCCUGACGAUUUCGAGCCGGAUCACCUGCUCUGGAGGUGGACCACCAAUGGCACCUACUCGGCGCGCUCAUGUUAUGCGGCCAGUUUCCAGGGAUCCACGCGGUGCCAUUCUUGGAAGCUGGUAUGGAAGAGUUGGGCGCCUCCACGGGUAA